AGCUUUGCGCAGAGGCGAUAUCGUAACCGAUGAAGUUCUACUGAGGUGCGAUUAUUGCUAGUUGAAAACUUUAACCAAUACUCCGCUAUGGGGACGUAAAUUACGUCCACUACAGCAAUUUUUGAAAACCCGAGAGGGU
rnacentral:snRNA from 12 species